ACGUAGGGAGCAAGCGUUGUUCGGAUUUACUGGGCGUAAAGGGCGCGUAGGCGGCGUGUUAAGUCAGCUGUGAAAUCUCCAAGCUCAACUUGGAACGGCCAGCUGAUACUGAUGUGCUAGAGUGCAGAAGGGGCAAUCGGUAUUCUUGGUGUAGCGGUGAAAUGCGUAGAUAUCAAGAGGAACACCUGAGGUGAAGACGGGUUGCUGGGCUGACACUGACGCUGAGGCGCGAAAGCCAGGGGAGCAAACGGGA
rnacentral:rRNA from 1 species